rnacentral:rRNA from 1 species
AACAGGGAUUGCCUCAGUAACGGCGAGUGAAGCGGCAACAGCUCAAAUUUGAAAUCUGGCUCUUUCAGGGUCCGAGUUGUAAUUUGUAGAAGAUGCUUCGGGUGUGGCUCCGGUCUAAGUUCCUUGGAACAGGACGUCAUAGAGGGUGAGAAUCCCGUAUGUGACUGGUUGCCUUCGCCCAUGUGAAGCUCUUUCGACGAGUCGAGUUGUUUGGGAAUGCAGCUCAAAAUGGGUGGUAAAUUUCAUCUAAAGCUAAAUAUUGGCCAGAGACCGAUAGCGCACAAGUAGAGUGAUCGAAAGAUGAAAAGCACUUUGGAAAGAGAGUUAAACAGUACGUGAAAUUGUUGAAAGGGAAGCGCUUGCAACCAGACUUGCGCGUGGUUGAUCAUCCGAGGUUCUCCCCGGUGCACUCGAUCACGCUCAGGCCAGCAUCGGUUUGGGUGGUUGGAUAAAGGCCUUGGGAAUGUAGCUUCUUUCGGGGAGUGUUAUAGCCCUCGGUGCAAUGCAGCCUACCCGGACCGAGGACCGCGCUUCGGCUAGGAUGCUGGCGUAAUGGUUGUAAGCGACCCGUCUUGAAACACGGACCAAGGAGUCUAACAUUUAUGCGAGUGUUUGGGUGUUAAACCCAUACGCGUAAUGAAAGUGAACGGAGGUGAGAACCCUUAAGGGUGCAUCAUCGACCGAUCCUGAUGUCUUCGGAUGGAUUUGAGUAAGAGCAUAACUGUUGGGACCCGAAAGAUGGUGAACUAUGCCUGAAUAGGGUGAAGCCAGAGGAAACUCUGGUGGAGGCUCGCAGCGGUUCUGACGUGCAAAUCGAUCGUCAAUUUGGGUAUAGGGGCGAAAGACUAAUCGAACAUCUAGUAGCUG